GACGAACCGUGCGAACGUUGUUCGGAAUCACUGGGCUUAAAGGGCGCGUAGGCGGCUUGCACAGUCGGGGGUGAAAUCUUUCGGCUUAACCGGAAAAUUGCCUUCGAUACUGGCAGGCUCGAGCGAGGUAGGGGCGGAUGGAACUUCCGGUGGAGCGGUGAAAUGUGUUGAUAUCGGAAGGAACGCCGGUGGCGAAAGCGAUCCGCUGGACCUCUUCUGACGCUGAGGCGCGAAAGCUAGGGGAGCAAACGGG
rnacentral:rRNA from 1 species